AGGCCAGUAGCUCGAACGGCAGAGCGCCGGUCUCCAAAACCGGAUGUUGCAGGUUCGAAUCCUGCCUGGCCUG
rnacentral:tRNA from 1 species